CCCAGUGAACAAUUAAACGGCCGCGGUACCCUAACCGUGCAAAGGUAGCGUAAUCACUUGUCUAUUAAUUGUAGACCCGUAUGAAAGGCACAAUGAGGGUCUAACUGUCUCUUUUAGUAAAUCAAUUAAACUGAUCCCCUAGUCCAAAAGCUAGGAUACCAACAUAAGACCAGAAGACCCUGUGAAACUUUAACUAAACUAUUAAACCCUAUAAUAACUCCUUUAGGUUGGGGCGACCUUGGAAAAAAAAAGAACUUCCAAAUAUAUCACACAUACACCUCUACCCAGGCCAACAAGCCUACCCACGACCCAGCACAGCUGACAAUUGAACCAAGCUACUCCAGGGAUAACAGCGCUAUCUUCUUCAAGAGCCCAUAUCAAAAAGAAGGUUUACGACCUCGAUGUUGGAUCAGGACAUCCUAAUGGUGCAGCCGCUAUUAAGGGUUCGUUUGUUCAACGAUUAACA
rnacentral:rRNA from 1 species